ensembl:rRNA 5S_rRNA 5S ribosomal RNA
UCUUGCCAGCUGUGCAAGCCUGACUGCAUCCACUCUUGGAAGCUAAAUAGUCCCAGGCCUGGCUGGUACUUGGAAGGGAGACCACCUGGAAAUCCCAGGUGCCAUAAGAA